rnacentral:lncRNA from 1 species
GCGCCCUCUGAGUGCCCUUGUUUGCUUGUUGUCUAAUCUGCCCACAAAAUCACACAUCGAAUGUGCCUAGUGCCAGCUGGGCAAACAGAACAGGGGCAGAAAGCAAAGCUUUGUCAAUCUUAGCGGAUCUGUAUUUCUCGGUUGCUUCAGUGUCACAUCGGACAGCAUGACGUUGACUUCCAGGUUUGUCCUGAUGAAUAAGAUAGCGCUCCGCUGGCUGCAGAAGUGCCCGUGCUUGUUUGGAAGCUGGCUGAGUCACCGUGCGCUCUCUGGGAAGCCCGCGUUGAUGUUCCCAUGGUGCAGCUUUUGGGUUUGUGCUAUGCUAGACAGUAAGCGUGCUUUCCCUGACCGAAGGCCAACUUUGUAUUUUCCCACCCUGGAGGACUGAGAAACAGAUACAUGAAAAAUCAGGCCACGCUGGGCUUUCGUGAGUGUUAAGUACAAAGAGUGGGUGACUCCCUGGGGGGGGGUGGUUUCUCAGGGAAAGUCACCCCAGACCUGCAUCUUAGAAAAUGAGCUCAUCAGCUGGGGGAGAGAGAGGACUUGAACCUCAGAUGUGCAGGAAGCGACGGAUGAUCGGAACGGUGCAGUAAGGCUGUAGUCGGAGGCCGCUGACUGAGCCCCAGCCAGCAGUGCUGAGUGACGCACACCUCUUCCGAGCCUGCCCCACGCUGCGUCCCUUCUGGAUGGCUGGAGCGGGUCCACUGCCGGGUGGUACGGAGGUGGUAGAGCCUCUCUGGCUCUGGCGAGUUUCAUGGUUUGGGGGAUGAAGACAUCCACCACAGUGCUUUUAAAUGAGCAGGGGAUAGCAUCUAUUGUCUUUGAUUCAGUACAUAUUAAAUGAAUAUGUGUUGCUUACUGUAUAUUUAUUAAAUAUAAGUCAGCUAGCUGACCAUAGAAAUCACAGCUGAGGAGAGAAAAAUACUGAGAAGCCUUGAACACUACACUAGGUGAUUUCAAUUUUCUGGUUCCACAGUGGGGGAUGUGGUG